rnacentral:rRNA from 1 species
GUGGGGAAUAUUGGGCAAUGGGCGAAAGCCUGACCCAGCAACGCCGCGUGAAGGAAGAAGGUUUUCGGAUCGUAAACUUCUAUCCUUGGUGAAGAUAAUGACGGUAGCCAAGAAGGAAGCCCCGGCUAACUACGUGCCAGCAGCCGCGGUAAUACGUAGGGGGCAAGCGUUGUCCGGAAUGAUUGGGCGUAAAGGGCGCGUAGGCGGCCCGGUAAGUCUGAAGUGAAAGUCCUGCUAUUAAGGUGGGAAUUGCUUUGGAUACUGUCGAGCUUGAGUGCAGGAGAGGUAAGCGGAAUUCCCGGUGUAGCGGUGAAAUGCGUAGAGAUCGGGAGGAACACCAGUGGCGAAGGCGGCUUACUGGACUGUAACUGACGCUGAGGCGCGAAAGUGUGGGGAGCAAACAGGAUUAGAAACCCGUGUAGUCC